CUGCUUGCUUCAGCAGCAUGGAUACUAAAAUUGGACUGAUACAAAGAUUAGCAUGGCCCCUGCACAAAGAUGACACAAACAUAUUAGAAUGCUAUGAACAUCUA
ensembl:snRNA U6 U6 spliceosomal RNA